rnacentral:misc_RNA from 1 species
GAUGAAGAACGCAUCGAAAUGCGAUAAGUAGUGUGAAUUGCAGAAUUCAGUGAAUCAUCGAAUCUUUGAACGCACAUUGCGCCCCUUGGUAUCCCGAGGGGCAUGCCUGUUCGAGCGUCAUUUCACCACUCAAGCCUGGCUUGGUGUUGGGCGACGUCCUCUUUGGGGACGCGCCUCGAAACGCUCGGCGGCGUGGCACCGGCUUUAAGCGUAGCAGAAUCUUUCGCUUUGGAAGUCGGGGCCCCGUCUGCCGGAAGACCUGCUCGCAAGGUUGACCUCGGAUCAGGCAGGGAUACCCGCUGAACUUAAGCAUAUCAAUAAGCGGAGGA